rnacentral:rRNA from 1 species
UACGUAGGGUGCAAGCGUUAAUCGGAAUUAUUGGGCGUAAAGGGCGCGUAGGCGGCUCUGCACGUUCGUUGUGAAAUCGCCCGGCUCAACUGGGCGGGGUCAGCGGAUACGGCAGAGCUUGAGCAAGCUAGGGGGCAAUGGAAUUCCCGGUGUAGUGGUGGAAUGCGUAGAUAUCGGGAGGAACACCAGUGGCGAAGGCGGUUGCCUGGGGCUUUGCUGACGCUGAUGCGCGAAAGCGUGGGGAGCGAGCCGG